CGGAGUCGAGCGAGCGUCGAGGCCGGCGCCACCCGACCCGUCCCGUCGAUCCCCAUCAGUACUUCCUCCGUGACCGCCUUGCGCACCUCUCCGCCUCCUCCUCGACGACCACCACCGCAGGCUCUUCGAAUCGCAGCUGGAGGCACCCUGCACGACGUGCUUCCAGGUCGGGCGGUUAUGGGCGAUGGCGCCGACGAAGAUUCUUCCAUGGUCGCGACCGUAACCUGCAGGACUUGCUUCCGUGGUCGUGACCGUCGUCAAGUGGAAGGUGGGUGACCUCGUGCUUACCAAGAUGAAGAGCUUCCCGGCCUGGUCGGCUAUGGUGAGUGUGUCGUCUCAACAGCUCCUUCUCUACUCGCUGAUCCUUGUUUGUGCUAUGGUGUCGCCUCCUUCUCUACUCGCUAGCCGGCUAUGGUGAGCUUUAGGUAGUAGGGGUUACUUCUACUAUGGAUAAUUUUUAAAUCUCCAUUUUCUAUCUCAACGAAUAAGUCAACAAAUGGAGAAGGGUGUGACAUGAAGUAAUUAUUUACUUUAGAAUCCCUUCAGUGACCAUUUCUUAGAUAAUUAUUUUUCAUUGCGAUGCGUGUCACUCUGACAGAUAUGUGGCUUGUUGUAGAGAAAUCACAAUUCCCCAACAUCACACAUGAAUUCAUCAUUGCAUUUUCAUUCCACAUCUGGAGGAACAAUUUCACAGAAAGCAAACAAGGACAUGAGGAGCUUGAUGGAGCCAGCUUGCGAGAACAUGAAGAAUUCACAAAGGUGAAAAAUAUCACAAAGGUUGAACUGGGGAGAUAUGAGAUAGAUACAUCAUACAUGGUAUUUCUCUCCUUUUCCACUAGAUUAUAAUGACUGCCCAAAACUAUUUUUCUGUGAAUUUUGCCUCAGCUUCAUGAAGCACCAAGAAUUAGCUUCAGAGGCACAUGGUGAGCUAUACUUGUUUGUGCUUUAUACCUUGCCUAUUUGUUAGAUACAUGCUACUAACAUGAGAUUAAAAACUGGUUUAUUUAGCUCGAUUCUUAUUUGUCUAAACUCAUCUAAUUUCUAUUUAGUUUUAACCUAGGUGCUAGACUGGACACCUAGAGACAAUGAAGCAGAAACUAGAGUAUCAAGACAGUAACUAGAAGUUCUAGAUGGUACUGUAUUGAGACGGCAAACAUCCAUAUCGAAUCCCAGGUACGCACGUAUCUCAUCUGUGUGUUGAGGCAGAGGCAGCGACCAGCAAGAGCGGCAUGCGCACCUUAGGCCAGCCUCUUCUCUCAACCAACCAUAGCUUUAGAAAGCCCAGCAAUGGCCACGGAGGACACCAGCGGUUGGUGAACCAACACGGCACCACCAGUUUCCAGCCUGCACUCACGCAUGGUUAACCACCUUAUUUUUAUUCUUGUUUAUUUCUUUUCAGGGAAGCCAUUAAAGGGGUUUAACUUUCAAUUUGGUAGUAUAUAAAUAUUAAUGGGUUGCCGGUAUGAUUUUGUUAUCCCUUUUUACCUCCAGCUUGGGGCAUGAAGCUAUAUAGAAGAAAUUACCUUUUGCUUUCUGUACAAAAAUUUCAUGCUAGGACAAGCUCAGCUCGUCCAAACUUGGAUGAACAAAAACGUAAUCAGCGCGUGACGCCAUGUGGGAGCAAAGUUGGGAAAAUGGAUAUUGGCGGUGGUCCAGAGGUCACUCUUAUUGGCAGUCUAGAAAAUGCCAAAGGAUCACAGCUACCCUAUUUGGUCUGAUUGAAUAAUGUGCGAAGAUAUACGUCACGUAAGUGAUUUAAUUUAUAAUACCCAACAAAAAAUCACAACAGCUGGUCUUGCUGAUUCAUGGAAGCAGUGGCUAUCAAUUUCUGUGAAUCAGAUCUUUCUUGGCCUCCCAUCUUCGCCUCAGGCAGCUGGGAGUGGUUUUAUACUAGCUGAUGACAUCAAGUCUUAGGUGCUUCCAUUGAUCAAUAACUCAGGGAAAUAUGGAGGGAUCAUGAUGUGGUUCAAGUACUAUGAUGAUCAAGAUGGCUACAAUUCUUCAAUGAAGAGUGAUGUUUAGGUUGUUGUCUGUGUUGUGUCACAAUAUCUGUGUGUUACUUGUGUGUAUGUGAGAAAUUAUGUGACUCUGGAGUCUGGAUAGUGCAAUAAGUAUUACUCAAGUAUAUGAUUGAAUCUUC